ensembl:lncRNA
GGAGUAGCUUGAGGCAUUUGAAGCAGACUUCCUAUAUUGCUUUUAGCAGUAAGGAGAUGUUGAUUUAUAGCUAUAUGAUACAGUGCAUAUGGUUCUUCAAUUGUUAAAAAAGUAGUUUCAGUUUGCAUAUGGCAUCCAGAUUAAACUAUUAUCAGUCAAUAGGAGUCUCUCUUCAUACUAUUCAAUAACUCCUACUCCUCCUUUCAGUCUUCUUCUGUCUCUCACUUAUUUAUUGUCCUUUUGUUCAGCACAGCAGCAGGCGGGAGAAAGGAGUCAGAAAAUUUCAGAGAAGCAGCCCAGCAGACACCACAGUCAGUGUAUGAGGACAGGAAGUACUCCAGGCACUGCAAAGUUCCCUUGCAGCCCAGGAGAGGCCCAUGGUGUAGCAGGCUGUUCCCUUGCAGCCCAUGAAGCAUCAUAUCAGAGCAGAUAUCCUCACUGUAGCCUGAGGAAGAGCCCAUGCUGAAGUAGGUGGAUAUGGCCUGAAGGAAGGUACUAUUCGUGGAGAGCCCCUACAGAAGAAGACAAUGGGCUGGAGCUGCAUCCCAUGGAAAGAUGUCCACAGUGGAGCAGGAGGUCUGGGAUCCAUGCUGGAGCUGUCCGUUCCUGAGGGAUGGAUCCUACAGUGCAGUUCUUAAAAAACUGCAGCCUGUGGGAUGCUCAUCACAGUUUGGGAAGAGCUGCAACUCAUGGGAGGGACCGUACUCUGGAAUGGGGGAAGAGAAGUAGCAAUAAAGAAGAAAUGUUAUGCACUGACUGUGGUGCAGGAACCAUUAGAAGCUGAACAGUAAAGGCACAUAUAUACAUGAUGUCAUAAGAAUGAUAGACCUCUGGUCAUGUGAGGAUCUUCAAAGCUGUAAGGCAAC